UGAGGAAUCUUCCACAAUGGACGAAAGUCUGAUGGAGCGACACCGCGUGAAGGAUGAAGGCCUAACGGUUGUAAACUUCUUUUCUGAAGGAGCAUAAUGAGAGUACUUCAGGAAUAAGGGACGGCUAAAUACGUGCCAGCAGCCGCGGUAAUACGUAUGUCUCGAGCGUUACCCGGAAUCACUGGGUGUAAAGGGUUCGUAGGCGGUUAGAUAAGUUGAAUAUGAAAGACCGGGGCUCAACCUCGUGUUUGUCUUCAAAACUGUCAAACUAGAAUCAGGGAGAGGUAAGCGGAAUUCUGUGUGUAGGGGUGCAAUCCGUAGAUACACAGAGGAACACCAAAAGCGAAGGCAGCUUACUGGAACUGUAUUGACGCUCAUGAACGAAAGCGUGGGGAGCGAAAAGG
rnacentral:rRNA from 1 species